AUUGAACGCUGGCGGCAGGCCUAACACAUGCAAGUCGAGCGGAUGAAGGGAGCUUGCUCCUGGAUUCAGCGGCGGACGGGUGAGUAAUGCCUAGGAAUCUGCCUGGUAGUGGGGGAUAACGUCCGGAAACGGGCGCUAAUACCGCAUACGUCCUGAGGGAGAAAGUGGGGGAUCUUCGGACCUCACGCUAUCAGAUGAGCCUAGGUCGGAUUAGCUAGUUGGUGGGGUAAAGGCCUACCAAGGCGACGAUCCGUAACUGGUCUGAGAGGAUGAUCAGUCACACUGGAACUGAGACACGGUCCAGACUCCUACGGGAGGCAGCAGUGGGGAAUAUUGGACAAUGGGCGAAAGCCUGAUCCAGCCAUGCCGCGUGUGUGAAGAAGGUCUUCGGAUUGUAAAGCACUUUUAGUUGGGAAGAAGGGCAGUAAAUUAAUACCUUGCUGUUUUGACGUUACCAACAGAGUAAGCACCGGCUAACUUCGUG
rnacentral:rRNA from 1 species